rnacentral:rRNA from 1 species
GAUGAACGCUAGCUACAGGCUUAACACAUGCAAGUCGAGGGACCGGCGCACGGGUGAGUAACACGUAUCCAACCUGCCCUUUACUCGGGGAUAGCCUUUCGAAAGACAGAUUCAUACCCGGUCUAAAGGAUUGGGAUGCGUUCCAUUAGGUUGUUAGUGAGGUAACGGCUAACCAAGCCUUCGAUGGAUAGGGGUUCUGUGAGGAAGGUCCCCAACAUCUGAACUGAGGCACGGACCAAAGUCCUACGGGAGGAAGCAGUGAGGAAUAGUGGUCAAUGGGCGCUAGCCUGAACCAGGCAAGUAGCGUGAAGGAUGAAGGCUUAUGGGUCGUAAACUUCUUUUAUAUAAGAAUAUGUAUUAGAUGAAUAAGGAUCGGCUAACUACGUGCCAGCCGCCGCGGUAAUAC